ensembl:lncRNA
UUUUUCGAGUCUAACAGAACCAACACAGGACUGGCUAAAGAAACCGACUAUGAGAUUAAAGUCCAAGGGUGGAACCCCUCAAGGUGAGUUCAAUUUAAAAUGACAGUAGGCUAAAGGAUGUUUUAGGGCAUCACUCAUAUGCGCUCCAUAACUGACCAAGGUCUUCUGGUCUUGGUGUACGGACAAAGCCAAUAGGGAGGGCCAACAUCUCACCUGUCCUAAACUCCCUUCAUUGGUUGCCCGACAGUUCUAGAAUCGUUCUUAAAAUCCUCUUAUUGGUGUUCAAAACACUAUAGGGAUCUUUUAGUUCUUCUCCGGUUGCAAAUCUUUUUUUCUUAGGAGGGUAUAGGGACAAGUAGGCCUACCACCUUUUUCCCCUCUGAUUUGCCUUUGAUUGAUUAGAAGGGCUCUCCCCCAAUUGGUUAGGGUUAACCCUAAACAUAACCCUAACCAUCGGAGGGGAGCCCUUCUAAGCUAACCCUAACCUCCCCAAAACAGCUAUGACUUAAUUAAGAAUCAAAACACGAUCUAAAGUAGAGCCCUUCCAACCAAUCAGAGGCGAAAAAGGAGGUACUUAGCCCUACCAUCCUACGAAAAAAAGAUUCGCUCCCCGGGUGAGGACAGAGAGCUAUGGGGAGGCGGCCUUUAGUGUCAGCCAGACCUACCGCCCUCGUUAUUAUCUGGGUAGACAGCCUGCAACCUAAAGUCUGUUCCGUUUUGCGACCAACUUGAAGUAUGUUCCUAAACUUUCCCUGGGUCAGCGCAAUCUUACCUAUAGGGGGUUAGGUAAGAGGUACUCACCACAGGUCCACAGCCACCGUAGGCGAACAACUCUCUCUCUGUGAAACUCCGCAGCGGCUCCUCGUCUCCAGGUGACUAGCCCACGCUUUGACUCCCGUCGUUCAACUUCCCUGUUUAUUAACAACCAAAAAGGUCCCUCAUUAAAGAGACUUGACAGCAAAACGGUUGUCCCUUUGGGUUAGGUCCUAUAUCAGAGUCCCACCUCCAGAAACUCUCAACCCACAGUCUCACUUCCUGAGACUCACCUGCCCACUCAGCUGUUCCCAAAUACCGCUAAUUAGUACCUCAACACCGCCCCCUCUGUGUGAUGUCAGUACAGACCCUAACCAUGAGCACACUAGAACUAACCCUAAUCGUAACAGUGUCUAAAUGCCCAUGCUCCAAGUGACUCAAAUAAAUACAAAACCAGGUAGUUGGAGUGAAUAACAAAAUGGAAACAAGACUCUGAUAGUACCUUGUUUACCCCCAACAAGAAAAUUUACCCAUUUACCCAUUUCGUCAAAAUGAUUUGGUUUUUUGUGUUCUCAAAAAAACACUUAAUAGAAGGCACAUAUUUUACUUUAUUCAUGGUGUCUGUACUGGCUGCAGCCUCACUUCUCAUUACCUCAUUUUUUGUGUUACCAUUAUAUCAACUGGUUUGUGUAUGUGCAAUAUGUUUUGAACCUAACAUGUGUGGCUGGAAUCCCAGCCCUGAAAUAAGUAAUCUCUCUAUAAUCGUCAAAUUGAUUUUACAAGACGUAGAGUGAGUAACCAUGAGUUUCUUUCUAUAGGCAUGUUGCUGCUGGAGUCGUAUAUGAAUCGUCAGUAGAUGCAUUUUCCCAAUCAGUGUCUUUACAACUACAUUUGAUUAAUUCGUGGAUGUGGCAAAUUUUGGUGAAAUAACACUGUCUUGUCUGUUUUGCACAGCACUCGAGAUGCACCUCCACUUAUAACUCAUCAGGAAACCCUUCCAAGAUGUUUUCUUUCGACAUGCUUAGUACACCACCUGCCCAACCUUCUGCAGACGGGCGAUGAGACCGCAGGGGACAAGACAAAAGAUAUCCACGGGCCCGGAUGAAAAAAAUGUGUUUGUAUUAUUAGAAUAUUAUGUGACAACAUUAUGUAAUAAAAAUUCAUGAUAAAGGAGGG